AAGACUAUACUUUCAGGGAUCAUUUCUGUAGUUCCUCACUGUAGAAGUUUCUAUAAAGUGGAGAGCACCAGAAACCAUGAAGAGGAGGCUCAGUGUUCUCUCCUGAACGUGAAGUUAGCUCUUGGUGCCGCUUCUUUCCUUUCCAGGGAAUAAGAGGGGGAGAAUGCCAACUCAGUGGU
ensembl:snoRNA U3 Small nucleolar RNA U3